AUAAAAACUAAUGCCAACAGAGGGCAAAAGAGUAACGUCUGGAUCAGUUUCAGCUUUCUCCUAAUAUCAAAAACUGAUUUGCAGUUUCCUCUCCCACGUUUUCUAAUCCGUGCAAAAGAGUUCUCCUCUUUCCUAUGGAAUCACCGCUCACGAUCAUAUACUUCAAUUGAAAAAGAAGUUCACCGGCCAACAGAAUACUUAAAAGAAUUUUUUGGCUUGCUGUUUUAAUGGGUGAUGCUGCUUCGUAUGCAGAGAAGAAUUUGUCUUUUAACACAGAAGCAAAACCAGAGAGCAAUUCAAUUUCAUUGGUUCCCCAGACUAAAUUUCAAAGCUCAAAGGUCAAGGGAAGUGCAUGAUCAAGACAUAGGAGAAGUCGGUUAGAGAGGGGGCUAGAUUUGCAGAAGCUGUACAGAAGUUGGGAAGAUAAUCUGGGCGUUGGUUUUAUUGCAUUGAAGGUAAAAGUGCAUGUAUAUACAGCAGGGACUGACACCAAACCUUCACAAAUAGCUAGGCAAGGUUUAGAGGAGGCCAAAAAGAAGAACAUAGAUCUAGUAAUAAUGGAUACUGCUGGAAGGCUUCAGAUAGACAAAGUACUGAUGGAUGAGUUGAAAGAAGUAAAGCGGGAAAUGAACCCCACAGAAGCUUUACUCAUUGUGGAUGCAAUGACUGGCCAGGAAGCUGCAGCCCUGGUCACAACAUUCAAUGUAGAGAUUGGGAUUACUGGCGCUAUUUUAACAAAGCUGGAUGGAGAUUCUAGAGAUGGAGCAACUUUGAGUGUUAAAGAGGUGUCAAGCAAGGACAGCAGCUGCAGUCAAAGUUCCAGAGUUUCAAUUUGAGGUGAGAAGGAAUUAUAGAGACCACAUUCCUUCAAGAAGAAGUCAAUGAACUCCAUGAUGGGAAGAAUUCGUUAGCGAUAAGUAUCUUUAGAGUUUUACAAUGUGGAUCUUCAUCAAUUCUAUGGUUUAACUCUGUACCUAGUGAAACUUCUUUGUAGCAAAAUUUACCUUUUCCAUUGCAAGUAGACUUUGACUUUUGCAAUGUGGAUCUUCAGUUCUAUACUCUAUUAAUAUAUUGCAAUUUCAUUUCAA